CAGCGGUGUGGCGGGACGCGGAGGGGAGCGAGACCCACCUCGCCCGGCGACGCUCAGUACCCGGUCCCGCACGGAGACUCCUCCGGAGCACGGGGCAGGGAACCCCCCCCGGGGCAGGGCGGCCCCCCUGCGCCCGCUUUGCCUCGCUCCCGGCCCGGCUGAAGCCGCCCCGCGGGCAGUGGGCGAACAGGGGCGAAGGACCUGGGAGGACUGAACUGCAUAUGGCGGCUGUCACAUGAAAACAGCCCAGCUGUGUGGGCUAGCAGGUUCUACCACAAUGGGAUGGGACAGGACAGGACAGGAGGUCACAUUCCUCCUGUCCCAGGAACAGCCAUCAGAGCACAGUUCUGCAGACUCUUCCCUGCCUGUCACUUUUCUAUUUCUGUUUUUGCCUCUCUCUUUCCAGUGAAAUGGUAGCUUGGACCAGAGCCUCAUCUUGCAACAUUUAAUUCGCAUAUGCUUCUGAGAGCCAGCUUUGCACUGAGAGUUAGUGCAUGGAGUUUUGCUCAUGAGUGACCCAAUUCUUGAAGCGGCAAAGUAGUCCCAAUUCCUUUCAAAGCCCCUGAAGUAAAUAGGAGUUUCUAUCUUCAACACAUUCUUCUAGAAGAUUCUUCCAGAUACCGGAAAAGCUGAGCUUCUACUGAUGUUAUGGAAAGGGAGGCUAUGGGUUUAUUUUGUACUGCUUCGGAGUGUAAUAUUUGUUAUUAACACAGCAGACCAGAAAACAGCAUAAUCAGAUCAUGACUGAACUGAUUCCAGCAUGAACUGAUGCUCAUGUUGGAACUAGAUGAUCUUCCAAGAUACCUUCCGACCCAAACUAUUCUAUGAUACUUCUAUAAAAUAUAAGCAGACAAUGGCAAAUCAUUUUACUGUAUUCCCUUGGCUGUCAGUUCCAUAAUUGGUGUUUUUAUCCUGUUGUUGCACUGUGUUUUAUUUUUCAGGCACAGAAGGGAGGGCAAACAAGGUAGCCUGCCUGUUAAUGUUAGACUUUAUAAAGCUUUGCUGUCUAACUCUGGCACCCCAACCAAAAUUUAUGAAAAAACCAGGGAAGCAAAUUGAGCUUCCUUUGCUAUCCUAAGCAACAGUUAUGUAUUUCAGCAUGUCAUGUUAGAUCUGAAGUUGGAAUGUGAAUCACACCAGGACUUGUUUCUACAUCUACAAUUUAAAGAGCUCUCAUUUAGAUCUUCAACAGUGUUAGGCAGAACACAUCCUAAAUUAAGAUUGCUUUCCCACUACAGUUCAUCUACCUGCUUCCCUCCUCCUUAUUUCUCAUCUGCAUGCUAAAUUUCUCUGAAUUUAUGACUCCACAGACAAUCUUACAAAAUAUUACUAGUAAAUGAGAUUUAUUUUUUAUGCUUAA